rnacentral:lncRNA from 1 species
GUACAAUGUCAAUAAUAAGGCCAGGAUUACGGACUGCAUGACAGAACAGCAUGUCUCCGAGUGAUCCAUCAGUCAAUGCAGGGCAGUAUACAGGUAUGUUAUUCUGGUCAAGUACUGAUGAGUUAGUACAGUGUGACUGCUGUCUUGAGAUGUAUAAUAACUUCAGCAUAAGGAAAGCACGAGUGAUCCAUCAGUCAAUGCAGGGCAGUAUACAGGUAUGUUAUUCUGGUCAAGUACUGAUGAGUUAGUACAGUGUGACUGCUGUCUUGAGAUGUAUAAUAACUUCAGCAUAAGGAAAGCACGAAACUCCAUGCAAUUUUUUAUGAGAUAUCCAACCAGGAACAGGAAAGGGUAAGGCACAGAGUCUAUUUAACAUCAAGAGUAAUAGCUAUUGUAUAUUGCUUGCAUCAACUGAGCUAUGAACAUUUCUAAACCAACUAAGGUCCAAAUAUAGCUAUCAGAUACACAAACACAGUGCAUUAAUAGAUUCCACAGUAAAGCAAAAGCAACAAUAAGUUGCUCAAAAAACACAGCUGAAUUUUUAUUAUUUUUCCCAUCCAACAUAAAUCAAUGCAUAAUUUGUAAAUAUAAUCAGCACGCCCCCAUUUCAGCAGUUUUAAUAUUUCCUAAGAAUACACAGGUAAUGUAAAAACAUAUUACC